CUUCCCUGCCUCCCUCCCUCUCCCUCCAGGCUUCAAAGACCCUAUUUUAUACAGACAACUUCAAAAGGACCUCUGAGCUUUGGCUCCAGGCCUCGCCCUGGGAACCAGGGCAGAACGAGACAGACCCUGGAGACACUACAGAUGGAAUACUACUGCAGGAGGGCCAGAGGUCCUGCAAUUUGGUCCAGAAAACAGGAACGGGAAGAGUCCAUGUUGGGUUUUACAAGGGCAAAACCAAGGCGUCAGCCAGGCUGGCCUCUGAUCAGGGAGUUCUGGGAAGAACCAUUUCCAAGGUCAUUCGGGUGAUGGCCAAGGUCAUUCAAUGAGAGGACAUAGAUUAAAGUCAGCAGCGGUAAGAGGCUGGUGGAGCCGGGCCCAGGAGAGGCCAGGCGUGAGCUUCCAGGUGUCCUUCCAGGAGGGCCAUGUGGACAGCCCUUCAUUCUCCCAGCAACAAUGUGUGACAACACAGGUCCAAAGAGCCCGUGAAAUAUCUUACUAGGCGGUCAUGAUUUCGGCCCAGGGAAAUCGAAAAUGGCCUGGCAUGCUGGCAACCGGUAAGUCAUUCUCCUCUAAGGUUCCCAAAGAUCCGAUGAGCUAACUAACUGGAAGGACCCUGUCUAAUGUGUGUGAAGUGACUGAGGGCACCAUGUUCAAAGGGACCAGGAGGGUCACGCUUUUACUUGCUGGUUACUUUUCUCUCUUAGACAUUUAUCGAAAGAGAACACUCUGGGGGUGCCUGGGUGGCUCAGCCGGUGAAGCAUCUGCUUUCGGCUCAGGUCAUGAUCUCAGGGUCUUGGGAUGGA